UUAAAAGAUUUAAUUAAUAAUUUAUUUAUAUGUGUAAAAAUAUUUUAUAAUUAUUAGUUUGAAAUGAAACGUUAAUCGUUUUUAAAUAUAUCUAGUUUCUUAAGAAAAGAAUUUAAUUCUAUCAUUAUUUAUUUAAAUUUUUAUUUUUAAUUUUUAAGUUUUAAUGGUUAAUAUUUAAUGGGAUGAGCUUUUAAUUAUUAUUUUAAAAAAUUUAUAUUUUAUUUAGUAUUCUGUAUAAUUUGAAUUGUUAAUCAUAUAAUAAUUUAAUAUUUAUUUACUUUAUAAUAUUGAUUUAUAUAAAAUUUUAAGUUUUUUAUUAAGAAAAUAAAUUUAAUUUUAAUAUUUAUUUUAUAAUGAUUAAAUUAGUAAAUAAUUUUGUAUUUAAUUAUUUUUAGUAAGGUUGUGAAAAGGAAUUCGGCAAAUUUAUUUUUCGCCUGUUUAUUAAAAACAUGUCCUUUUGAUUAAAAUUUAAGGUUUAAUCUGCUCAAGAAAAUUAAAUAGCUGCAGUAUUCUAACUGUACAAAGGUAGCAUAAUAAUUAGUUUUUUAAUUGAAAGCUGGAAUGAAUGAUUGGACGAGAAAAUAACUGUCUCUUUACAAUUUUUUAUUGAAUUUAACUUUUAAGUGAAAAGGCUUAAAUUUUAUUAAAAGACGAGAAGACCCUAUAGAGUUUUAUUUUUAUAUAAAUAUUUUUAGUAUAAUUUGGUUUAUAAAAAUUUAGUUGGGGUGACUAGAAGAUUAAAAUAACUCUUUAAAUUUAAAAUCAUUGAUUUAUGAAUUGAAAAUCUUAAAUUAUAAAUUUAAAUUAAAUUACCUUAGGGAUAACAGCGUAAUUUUUCUUUAGAGUUCAUAUUAAAAGAAUAGUUUGCGACCUCGAUGUUGGAUUAAAAUUUAUUUUUGGUGUAGAAGCUAAAAAAAUUGAGUCUGUUCGAC
rnacentral:rRNA from 1 species